ACUUAAGUAGUUUAAUCAAAAAUUUUGAUUUGUGGUGUCAAAAAUACAGGAGAAAUCCUGUCUUAGGUU
rnacentral:tRNA from 1 species